UACAUCAUGGUGUCGGCGUCCAGUCAGGCGCUGACCACUACAUGUUAACACAAGUACGGACAGGCCAUAUCGUCAGCUGGAUAACCGAACUACUCGGUAGUGAAGCGGACGUAAAAUCUAUCUAUCGACAGGCCAUACCAGUUACAUCACCAUAGUACUCCUGCGGGAUGGACGUCACUGACUAAUCGACUGAAGACAUUUUCAAAUGUAUUUAUGGAGAAACUGUGCUAUAUAUAACCACGGAAUUAUAUCUUAUUCCGUGAUAUAACCAACACGUGUGAUAUUGUGGAACAAAGGUACAUUUGUAUAUAAGAUCUGAAAAUGCUUCUACGUUACUGACGACAAUAAUUCGAGCAUAAGCCAUUCCAUUGUCCAAAAGAAAUAUCCUGCGAAAUAUACCAUCAGCAUAUUACGAGGAGGCCGUGGACUAGUCUAUCUUCUUUUGAGAGAGAUUUACGUGUACAUUUCCAGCAUGUACCCUAUACUCAUUUUCAUUUUGGUAUCUAGUAUGGUCGCCAUGUCAAUGUUCGUCUUCCUGCUCAUAUGUAUGGCUCUGAUAACGAUCAUGUGUAUGGCGACAGGAACUAUUAUCUCCGUCGUCCUGUUUGCCGCCAGUGUGGUCCUCCGCGACACAAGUCUCUCGGAAAUUAAUAUCCCGGAUAUGUCUAAGCUCCUAAAUGGAGUCCUGGGGAAAGUGAACAUUAUUUCCACGACCCUGAUAAAGGAGCAGUUUUGGAACUUUGCCAGUCGGAAAAACGUGACUGCUUAUGCGAAUACAGUAUUCAACCGGAUGUACCACACGGUCACAUUCUCUUUCUUCAAAUAAUAAUUAACGUGAACAAAUUUA